UGAUUCCACAGUAACGUGUCAGCAGACCCUCUGUGAAGGGCAAUCCUGUGCACUUAUGUCUUCUUCAAAAUCUUGUUCCCACCCAUUUCACAUCUCAGCAGACCCUCGCAGAACCCUGGGAUGAAGGCAGCAGGGCUUAGCAUCGCCUUGUGACAAAUGGAGGCCCAGAGGUUUGGUGCUUUUUGGUUUCCAUGGGAUGGAGAUCAGGAAAUUAUUUCUAGGUGUUUAUAUGAGGGAAGAGGAAAAGCUGCUGAGACUUAAACUUCUGGACGAUCCAACAACAUCUGAAAUAUCAGAAACUACCCUUCCAAAAGAAAACUAUCAACUCUUUUGACAUUCUGAGGAGUCUUUCUCUGAAGCUUCAGCUGAAUAUGAGGGGUUAGGCUAAAUGGAGCGACCAGGAGCCACAAAUGAGGGAUAUGGAAUAAAAACGUUUCAAUUUAGUAGACGAUAUAAAUUGAAACUGGAUUGGACUAUCGUUGCCUCUGCUCGAAAUGCGAUCUUCAAGUGGCCAGCUUGCUAUUUUUCAUCUAUUUUAUUUUGGCUUCCAUGCCAUCUCCUUGGAGAAGCCUUCUUUGAUUGCCUCCCUGAAAGAGAACCUCCAAGCUCUUUGCCAUAUUCUAUCUUAGCUGUGUAUUUGUUUCAUAACAUAUCAGAAUUUAUUUGCCUGUUUGCUUUCUGUUUUGGACCCUUAGUAAAACAUAUCAUUCCUUGAAAGAAAGACCUCUUGACCAACGUAGCUCAGUGCCCAGUGGAAUACCUGGCACAUAGUGGACAUUCAAUAAAUAUCGUUGGAAGAACGAAUUCAUUUCAGGACAAGAAUAAGAUAUAUCAGUGUUUGCAGCUUAAUGCCACCAUUGAUAAGCUGUAAAACUGUCCAAAUUACAUAAUCUUAGUCUGGGAUACUUCAUCUGCAAAAGGGAAAAAAAUACAAUAGAGGGUAGCUGUUUAUGUAGUGUCUAAUACAUAAGAAAUAUUCAAUAAAUCAAAGCUAUUAUUAUUCAGUCAUUGAAGAAUUAAGUUAACCACCAAGAAAUAUUUACCAGUAUUUCUAUUCAGCUAACAUCUACUGAGAUCUAGCACAUGCCAUGCCACACACUAAGCACUUUUACAUGCAUUAUCUUAUGUGAUUCAUGACAACGACCGUGGGAGAGAUCCUUUCCAUUUAGAACAAAAGAAACAGAGACUCAGGGAGGUUAAGCGGCUUGACCAAGCUUACACAGCUAUUGAGUGGCAGAGGCAGUAUUAACUCCAUUUCUAUUUUUAAAGCCAUAAUUUCCCCCCAUAAUUCCAGGCUGCUUCCUAUUAACACUUGCUCUGGAUAAAUAAACAUAAGGAAGCCACAUUCUCUGUCCUCUGGGGGCUCUGGUUUAGGUGAUAAGACAUAUGUAAGAGUAAAACGAGCACUAAUAAAAACCAAUGUUUUUUCAUGCUGCUUUGAAGUUUACAAAGCAUGUCCCAAUAUUUACAACACAUUCAAGUUUUAGGAUACAUAAAUAAUUCAAACAAGUCAAUGAGAAAAAGAUAACUCAAUGGAAAAAUUGACCGAUUGUGAACAGGCCUUUCAAAUGGCCAAUAAUCACAUGAAAAGAUGUUUGGCAUUAUUGGUCAUGGGGAAAUUCAAAUGAGAACAAUGAUAUACCAUUUCCCACCCAUUGGAUUGUCAAAAGAACAGAGAAUACCAAGGACUGAUGAGGGUCAAGUUGCAUGGGAACCGUCGUAACAUGCUAGCUAUGCUAGAAAUUGGUAAAAUCAGUUCGGGAAGCAACUGGAAAUACUUAACAGAGGUGACUAUGAACAUGCCCUUGGAACCAGGGCUGCCUCUAGGAAGCAAAAACUACUCUAGAGAAACCCUUGCCUAUGUGCAGAAGGAGAGACACAAAAAUGUUCAGUUUCAGCAUUUUAUAUAAUAGUGAAAUAUUGGCAACAAUCUAAAAGUACAUUAACAGGGGAAUGGAUAAACUGGUCAUUUGUGGAUGAAAUAUGAAACAGCAGCUGAAGGAAUAAAUUAGAGCUCCACUUAGUGACAGGGAUAGAUCACAGAUACAUAUUGUUAAAUAAAAAACAGCAAGUUGCAGAAAGGCAGACAAGAUGAUAGCCUUUAUGCACAUUAAAGAAAACAGGUAAAGCAGCCCUGUAUGUUUAAAAUGAACUCUCUUUAUGUACCGUAAAGAGCUGGUCGGGAAACAUACACGCCACUCACAAUAGUAAUUACUUCUGGGGAGGAAGAUAGGGACUGAGGUCAGGGAGGCUUGUAAAGAGGACUUCUACGGAACCUUCAACUAAAUGUUUUACUUAAAAAAAAACAUCUGAAGCAAAUACGGCAAAAUGUUAACAUUGUUAGAUCAGGUGGUGGGUUCAGCUGUUUUUGAACUGUUCUGUGUGUAUGGGAUAUUUUUUUUUUUUUUUUUGUGGUAUGCGGG